UACGUAGGGUGCGAGCGUUAAUCGGAAUUACUGGGCGUAAAGGGUGCGCAGGCGGCGUCGCAAGUCAGGCGUGAAAUCCCCGGGCUUAACCUGGGAACUGCACUUGAAACUACGAUGCUGGAGUAUGGCAGAGGGAGGUGGAAUUCCACGUGUAGCGGUGAAAUGCGUAGAGAUGUGGAGGAACACCGAUGGCGAAGGCAGCCUCCUGGGCCAAUACUGACGCUCAUGCACGAAAGCGUGGGGAGCAAAAGGG
rnacentral:rRNA from 1 species